ACACCCACAUGGAACCCAACCCAGGACUUCAAUUCACAAUGCUGACAUCAAGAUCUGAGCUGAGAUCAAGAGUUGUCUGUGUAACCAACUGAGACAUCCAGGUGUCCCUGCUGUUGUUGUUUUUAAGACAUGCCAGACAGUCUUAAAGAAUGGUUUCAAGCUUCUUGAGUGAUCAUCUCAGAGAAAGGAUAUGAUAAGCUUUGAAAAAGCUGGCAUGUUGUGAAGAGGGCCACAUGGCAAGGAACUGAGGACGGUCCCCAGCCAAAAGAGUAAGAAACUAAGACCUUCAGUCUAACAACUUGCGAAAACUGACUGCUGCCAAUAACCACGUGAGCUGGAAGUGGAUCGUUCCUCAAUCAAACCUCAGAUGAGAAAAUAGCCCUGACCAACAACUUCGACUUACAGACUUGCACAAGACCUGGUAAACCCAUGCCAGAUUCCCAACCUCCAGAUAUUGUCAGUAGACUUCAUGCCCAGCGUGGAGGCCAACAUGGAGUCUGAACUCACAACUCUGAGAUCAAGAUCUGAGCUGCAAUCAGGAGUUGGACGCUUAACUGAACGUGGCAC